rnacentral:rRNA from 1 species
UACGUAGGUGGCGAGCGUUAUCCGGAAUUACUGGGCGUAAAGCGCACGCAGGCGGCUCUUUAAGUUUGACGUGAAAGCUCCCGGCUUAACUGGGAGAGGUCGUUGAAGACUGGAGGGCUUGAGGCAAUGAGAGGGGUGUAGAAUUCCCGGUGUAGUGGUGGAAUGCGUAGAUAUCGGGGGGAAUACCAGUGGCGAAAGCGGCACCCUAGCAUUAGCCUGACGCUCAUGUGCGAAAGCGUGGGGAGCGAACGGG